CCUUCGAUAGCUCAGCUGGUAGAGCGGAGGACUGUAGGUGCGAGCCCGCUGUCAUCCUUAGGUCGCUGGUUCGAUUCCGGCUCGAAGGA
rfam:Myotis lucifugus cont2.21730, whole genome shotgun sequence.